GAUGAAGAACGCAGUGAAAUGCGAUAAGUAAUGUGAAUUGCAGAAUUCAGUGAAUCAUCGAAUCUUUGAACGCACCUUGCGCCCUUUGGCUAUUCCGAAGGGCAUGCCUGUUUGAGUAUCAUGAACACCUCAACCCUCAUGGUUUGCCAUGACGGGCUUGGACUUUGGGGGUCUUGCUGGAUUGUAGUCAGCUCCCCUUAAACAAAUCAGCUUGCCAGUGUUUGGUGGCAUCACAGGUGUGAUAACUAUCUAUGCUUGUGGUUUUACAUCAGAUAACCUUCAGUGAUGGAGGUUCACUGGAGCUCAUAAAGGUGUCUCUCCUCUGUGAGGACAGCUCUUUGAAUGUUUGAUCUCAAAUCAGGCAGGACUACCCGCUGAACUUAAGCAUAUCAAUAAGCGGAGGA
rnacentral:misc_RNA from 1 species